rnacentral:snRNA from 1 species
GUGUUCACUGUGGCAGUACAUAUACUAAAAUUGGAAUGAUACAGAGAGGAUUAGCAUGGUCCCUUUGCAAGGCUGACACACAAAUUCAUGAAGCAUUCUGUGUUUUC